ACAGAAGUGAGAAAGGUCUGGAAGUCUCGUGUAGCUCUGGCCAAAAUCACGUUGUCUGAAAUAACUGCGUAUCCAAAGCUCGGCCAAGCCUCGCUCUCCACCAGUCUCUCAGCACCAGACAGGAGCUGUGGGGAUAAAGCCAAGCCCUUAGAGCAAGACCCAAACCAUCUGCUGGGGGACUGCACAGCUAAAAAAUGCAUUUCUGGACCCAGAAGAGCAGCCUGGGCUGCCUCCAGUCAGACCGGCAGCGAUCCGCCCAGCAGCAGCUCAAAGAACCGUGGCAGAGACGCGAUGUCAAGGUGCAGGGGGCAUCUGAGUGCCACCAGCUCCCGGGGCCGGGUCCUGGGCACCUCUGCAGAGGAUGGGAACUAGAAACUAGAAAAUGGAUGACGGAACAAUAAAAAUAAACGAAAUCUCCAGUGGUA